UACGUAGGGGGCAAGCGUUGUCCGGAUUUACUGGGCGUAAAGAGCGUGUAGGCGGCCACGCAGGUCCGUUGUGAAAACUGGAGGCUCAACCUCCAGCUGUCGACGGAAACCGUAUGGCUAGAGUCCGGAAGAGGAGAGUGGAAUUCCUGGUGAGCGGUGAAAUGCGCAGAUAUCAGGAAGAACACCAAUGGCGAAGGCAGCCUCUCGUGGGACGUACUGACGCUGAGACGCGAAGCGUGGGAGCGAA
rnacentral:rRNA from 1 species